CUUCAGUUCCCAGGGUCCGGGUGCUCAGUACACACACUCACUUGGUUCCGGUGUUUUUGCCAGCACAGCCUCUGGGAAGAGGUGCUGAAGAAGAAGGUCGCAGCCAGAGAGACCCACAUCCAGGCUUGGAGGUGGAGCCCUGGCCAGCACUUUGCCCAAGAGAGAAAUCCUUCCCUGCCUGCUGGGCAGCAAACGGGCAUCAUCCAGAUUGUUUCCUAAAGCUGUGCCAUUUGGAGAAGGACAGGGCAGCCAGAGGAUCCCUCGGAUCUGUCAGCGGAGACAGAGAAACCAGCCGCCUGCAGUGGGAGUCGGUAAUUCUUCCUGGGAGCCUGACCCCGUCAUUGCUGUAUUCAUCAAAAACUAAUAUACAGAAGAAAUGACGGAACAUAUACAAGAAAAGCAGAGCUGGCCCCUGUGCUCGGCCUUCUCGUCCCUCUGCUUUCUCUCAGCAGCUUGUAACUUGACAGCUGGCUCAUUUCACCUUGGGGACAGGCAAGGAGGGACUUGGAUGGGUCUCCCUAGUGGCCAGCAGACUCUGAGAUGACCAGCUACAAACAGGGUAUAACUCUGCCGCCAGAGCGAGGGCGAGAGGGAGCAUUGGGAACCACGUGAGCUCAUUAAGCAUAUGUAGUGCUCAAGACUUGGC